rnacentral:rRNA from 1 species
UACAGAGGAGCCAAGCGUUGUCCGGAUUGACUGGGCGUAAAGCGCACGCAGGCGGUGGUGCGCGUGGGGGGGGAAAUCUGGCCGCUUAACGGCCAGGCGCCAUCCCAUACGGCACGCCUGGAGCCUUGCAGAGGUCGGUGGAAUUGCCGGUGUAGUGGUGAAAUGCGUAGAGAUCGGCAGGAACACCCAGGGGGAAACCAGCCGACUGGGCAAGUGCUGACGCUGAGGUGCGAGAGCGUGGGGAGCGAACCGG